rnacentral:tRNA from 2 species
GGGCCCAUAGCUCAGUCGGUAGAGCGCCAGCCUCUUAAGCUGGAUGUCAGGGGUUCGAAUCCCCUUGGGCUCG